rnacentral:rRNA from 1 species
GAUCAUGGCUCAGGACGAACGCUGGCGGCGUGCUUAACACAUGCAAGUCGAACGGAGCGAAUGAAAGCUUGCUUUUAUGAGCUUAGUGGCAAACGGGUGAGUAACACGUAGGCAACCUGCCGACAGGAUGGGGACAACAUUCCGAAAGGAAUGCUAAUACCGAAUGAAGUCGAGGGAGGGCAUCCUCCUUCGAUGAAAGAUGGCCUCUAUUUAUAAGCUAUCACCUGUCGAUGGG